GCAUUGCCUCACUCGAUAAUAAUGGGAAAAAUGGAAAUUUUCUAUUCAGAUAUUCAAUUUUUGCUUCAUUAGAUAUUGCACAGAUCAGAUAAGAUUUGCAAUUUUGUUAUAAUUUCAUGAAGUCUAGGUCUUGCUUUCUGUUGAAGUUCCAACCAUUCGAAUGAAGAACCUUCUUCCAGAAAAUUAUCAAGCGUGGGGCUGAGGGAAAUCUCCCAAAUGAUAUCGGUUCUCUAACUGCACUUGAUACACUCUAAUUUUCACGUAGACUUGAUAGAAUUAAUAAUCAGAAACAUGAAACAAUUUCAGAUUGUAAUAUUAGUUUGGAAUUUUUUGAAUUGGCCGUAAGGGUAUUUUUGUCCAGGGAUCUAUCUCUAAGUUUAUUUGUUUUUUAACUUUCUUUGUUAAUAUGAAUACAUAAGGGAUUUAUCCUACAACACAGGCUCGACCGAGGGCUUCCAAGCAAUAUCGGAAAACUGGCCUCCUUGAGAAUUCUAUGAGUUUUACUUAUAAGUCAAGUCCAGCAUCCUGAAAAUUUUAAAGCACUAUUACCAUCUUAUAUUUAAUUUCUCAAUAUAAUUUUUGACUGGUAAAUUUCUGUUACCUACUGGAUGGUGAUUGCGUGCAAUUUCAAUGGACAAAUACCAGCUGAAUCGGGGACCUUGAUUAAUCUUAGAUUUUUGGCUCUGUUUUCCAAUGAGUUUACAGGCCCAAUUUUCUCCCACUCUGGGUAAGUUGGGCAAUCUGGCAUGGCUUGAUCUUGCAGACAAUCAAUUUAGUGGGAGUGUUCUAGUUUCCCAUGCUACUCAAUCUGGAUUCUAGAUUGUCAACUUAUAAUCUCUUAGCAACAUGGUGAGUCCUAGAGGCUUGACUCAUCAGAAUGGGGCAGAAGAUCAUGUUGGAAUUUAAUAUUUAAAAGCUUAGUUUAUAAAAGGUUUUAAUUUUGUGAACCAUAUACACAACCUCUGCGGAAAAUACACAACAGAAAAUUAAAGACAAUUAAUAAGAAUGCUUCUGGGAUAAACUGUGCAGAUUUUUGUAUAAUUUAUUCCAACUAAAACAGAGAAUUAAAUUCAAACUCAUAUAAAUAAUUUGAUAAUCCCAACAGAUCUCACUAAACAGUUAAAUUUCUGACAAGAAUAACUUAAAAUGAAUUUUAUGUGGAUAACUGUUUCUUUUGUAGAAUCCAGAUUUCUAGGCUAUUUAUCCUGCUUUAGAUUUACUAGUCUUAUGAAACCAAGGAAAUAGCUUUAGAUUUACUAGUUUUAUGAAACCAAGGAAAUAAGAUGUUCCAUACUGCAUAGUUUCUGUAGGAGAAAUGACAUACCGCCAAAUAUAUAUUGGAAAAGCUAAAACUCACAUCUUCAAGAAAUAGCACCCCAUUUGUUUUUUAAACCAGUUAUGCGCUGUGCUAAGAAACAAUGCCCAUCCUAAUCAAGACUAACUCUUAGCAGGCAGCUAUAGUCGCAUGGAUUUAUCAAAAGAAUUGCCAAAAUCUAGCCCUGCCAAAAUCUGUUUCUAACUUUGCAGAUCUGAGGAAAGAGAAUACAAAACCUUCUACUGGUCGGGCAGAUUUGAGCUCAAAAUUGAGGCAAAUUUACCAAGACGGAAUAAUGAAAAAAUUGCAAGAAACAAUUGAAAUAGAAGACUCUUGGAGAGUCCUAGAAAGUAAAAAAAAAGCAAAAAAAAAAAAGAAGAAGAAAGAAAGAAAGUAGUCUUAAAAUGAAUAUGUUGUAUUGGCUUAUUUCAAGUUUGUGUCAUAAUAUGUUGUCAUUGUUAUUUGUUUGAUUUUGAGCACUUAUAAUGACACCAUCCAAGGUGUUAUCUUUAUACACAUCUUUUGCUCACAAAGAGAAUAUUCGUGAUCAUGCUCCACCACCAUCACAACAUGUGCAAUCUAUAGCAUCUUAAGGGAUACUCCAUGAGAAGGACCUUGAAAUCACCAACUACUACUUUUUGUUAUGCUAUGUUUUUCUAUCCUGCAUCCUUUCACUUGACCUUGCCACUUGGGAAAGUAGGUACUGUGUUAUGUUUUCAUAUCCUCAAAUUUACAAAUUGAUAUCUUUUUUACAAUAUUAUUACUUUUCCUAUGUAUUUAAACUCUGGCAUGUAUGAUCACAUAAUUUUGCACCCAUACUGAAGUGGAGGCAAAAGAGAGAGAAAAAAGUGCAUAAUCUCACACAGCAUGCUCAAGCUCUUCUUCUUCUGCUCAAGUUUUGUCCCUUCUUCUUCCUCCUCUUUUACUUCGCUUUCGUCGAUGGUGAGUAGUGCAGCAACAAAAAGUGUAAUGGACAGCAAAAGAGGCCAAAUGUAUAUAGAAUCAACUUCAUUUGAACCGUAGUUCUCACAGAAUGUCUCACCAGCAUGCAGAACCACAAAUGCGGAAUUUUGAAAAGAAAUAGCGAGUGAAAUAUUUGAUAGAAUGCUCAAAAAAAAAGUUCCUCAUGACAUGCCAUACGAUUGGCAGGUGUAAAGCUUAUCUCAUAAAUUUUGCCACCAUUCUGAUUGCGUGUACAAAAAUAGGAGCUGGACAUUUAUUGAAGAAUAACUUGUAAGUGUAAUUGUUGGCAGCUGGCCAUUACCGUGUUCCUAUUUCUUACUUUUGUGAGGCUAUCAAGUUUAAUUCAUGAAACUACUAAAAUAACAUAAAUUAUACUAAACUAUUAUGGC